AACUUUAUGGUAUCUGAGUAAAGCUCCAUCACCAAAGUCAGACCCAGACAUGUCCUAGUCCACGCAAUCUAAACUGUCCUGUAGCGUAGAAUCUAAACUGUACCACCAGCAUUGUUUGGUUCUGAGGGCGGGUUUAAGUUUGCACGAGCAGGAGGGAAGCGUGAUCUGAUUUGAAGACAGGGCGGGGGGUGGGAUUUGUAGGCGUCCCAGAAGAAGUCCACUAUGAACAUCGCUGACUCUCUAGUGGUCGAGUUUAAUAGCUGUUACUGAGAAACUACAUGCUGCUAGAUCAGCCAAGCUGUCAUCUGUCCUCAUCCUACUCGACCUGUCAGCAGCGUUUAACACAAGACUUCAGACUUGGAAUUCAUCGAGCAGCAUGGCAAUGAUCUGAGUCUGGACCUGGUUUUGUACUGAACACACAAGUUCAUUAGAUCACUUGGUGUGAACAGGAACGAUGAUCAGACUCUUUGUCGCUCUUUGUGCUCUUUUUUCUCUCUUCACAGCUGGUGAGUAACUUUCUGAAACUUUAAUGUAAAACUAUAAUAUUUUAUAUUUAACUCAUUUACUGACAUUAAAUAUUAAACAUUCUGACAUCAAGGAGAUUGAUGUGAUAACAGUAAAGCGUGGAGAAAAUGUAACUAUGAAGUGUAGCAUUAGCAGUGUCACAAAGAAAGAAGUAGUUUGGUACAGACAGAUUUCAGGAAAAUUACCUCAGUUUUUUGCAAAUCCAUACAAGAACGAAUUGGGCUACAGAUUUAGUGAUGGAUUUAAUGAUGUUCGUUUCAGUUUUAGUGUAAAUGACAGUAAAUUUGACCUCAGUAUUAAAAAAACAAGAGAAGAUGAUGAAGGAGAAUAUUUCUGUGGAGAAAUGGAAGGAAGUGUAGUGAAGUUCACAUCUGGAACACAUCUGCAAUUUUCAGAUAAAGAGACGACACACCGUCCAACACUUGGAACAUCCAUGUGCAAUGAAAUGAGUGAGAGCUGUACUGCUAACAUGCGUCUGUUCUUCUGGCUCUCCAUUUCAAGAAUCGGAGUUCUCAGUGUUACAGUUAUUAUAAUUACAAUAUGGUACAAGGUUUUAAAGUCAGGAUCUCAAACUUGAUAAUUAUCUUGUUUAAUAAUAAUAUAUAAUAUAAUGAAUAUAAUAAUAUAUAAUUAAUAAUAAUUGUCUUUUAACUGUUGUCUGUGUCGCUCUAACUGUAUUUUCCAGUACAUGACAUUUAUUAUUUUUUUUAAUUUUACUCCAGUGUGUAUGUGUGUGUUAGAUAAUAAAAACUA